ACUAUGCUGCCAAAGCGAGAGGUCAUUUCUUUUUGGAGGUUUAGAAAAAUUCCUGGUGUCGCAUAUUUAGAGGGUCGCAUCUAAUUGGAGGUUACUCUACUAUCCUCGAUUAUAGGAUGCUUAAAAUUAUAUUGUUUCUAGCGGCCUGGAAUCGAGGCUGUGGUUUGACCUCUAUUUAGGACGCGACAUAAAAAAAAAAUUGUCACACGCAGCAGUCGCUACUUUUAGAGGUCAGAAAAUUACCUAAGAUCAAGGGGUGUCGCAUAUUUGGAGGGUCGCCUUAAAUUGAACAAGUACGGUACUUGUGUAUAAUGUGUAAUGUUGUAGUUGUAGUUGGUUAUGAUGUGCGGCCUAACUUUGGUCUUGUGCAUGAUACCCAGGUAUGUACCCACACAGAGUUCAUACCAAGUAACAUAAAAGCAAACACUUAAAAACUGUUUUAAUACAGAGAUACUACACGUAGGGACAGAGCCGACCGACGUGGAGACGGUUACUAUUGCUACUGAAGAGGUGGUACCCAGUUCACAGUUUGAGAUAGAGAUAAGUCAGAGUGAUGAUGGGGAGAGUGUGGAGCAGCUACAGGCCAGUGACUUGGGCCCUAACUUUGGUCUUGUGCAUAAUACCCAGGAGGUCCACACGCUAACUAGCGAUGAUGGUUUGCCCUCUGACAUGACCUCUGAGGAUGGCUCCACCCUCAACGCUAUAGGCCACGCCCUCAUCCAGAUGCAGCAAGGUGGACAGACCACCCCCUCAUCUCAGUUCCUCAUCACUAGGAGCACUUCAUCUGGUUCAGAGUCUGGCCAAAAAUUAAUGGUGAAUAAAGAAUACCAAAUUUAUCAGUGUGACGAUUGCUUUUUUGCCAAAUCCAAAAGUUAUAGGCCUCGAUAAGUUAUCCAAGUGCUUGUACGUACUAAUUACAUGUAGAACCAUGAGUAUUAUUGCUAAUGUUUGAUUAUAAAAUAAGGUUUCUUGGAAGUGGUGUUGAAAAAUAGUCAGUUUUUACUAUGUUGUUGUGUGUGUUGAGGUCCUCUGUAUGUGAUGAUCCCACCAUCCAGUAGUGCUGAGAUACUGCAUGCAAUGUGUCGACCUAUAGCACCCAAGAUGAGCGGGAUAUCAACUAUGGAUUAUCACACGGCCGACCCCAUCGUUCAAAUGCAGUUGUCUGGGGAUAUGGCGGCCAACAGGGAAGCUCAGAGGAAGGCUACACACAAUGAAGGUGCUGCAAAUUCAAUACUGAAAGUUAGAGUGUACAACAGAUGUACAUGUACGUAUGUGGUCAUAAUCAAAUAGAAGCAUUUCCCACAAAGUACAGUUACGAAGCUUUAACAUCAAAUCUGCCACUUCUAAAACUAGUGUUCAAGCUGGCGCUGUGCUAAUGCCUCUCGCCAUGUUUUUGCUUUCGCUCAAAAGUAUUAGAGUGUUAUCUAUAAUGAAUUUUAUAUUAAAGUUAGCUUAUCUAUAUAAAGUCACUGAGAAGAAAAGACUUAUUUACAUGCAUCUAUUGUUGUUAUUUAUUGUAUUAUGUAGCUUACCAGGACCUCAAGAAAGAAGAAAAUUGAUUCUUCCAGGAUCUGUAGUUCAGUGUAUAUAAUAUCUAAGAAGAAAAGACCUGUGUACAUGCAUAUUGUUAUCUAUAUUGUUAAUGGUAGUGUUUUGUGGCUAACACCAGGCCCUCAAGACAAAGAUGAUUCUGCCAGGAGAAUCUGGAUCUUGGAUAUCACACAUGGGGAAUGAGCGCGCAUGCGCAUUACAUCCACAGGAAUAAUUAAAGGGUGUGUCCAAAGAGAUAAAUGGCUACUGCUAGCUAGCUGUUUUAACAGAUAUUUUCUGAGUAUUGUAGCUAACAAAAAGCUAGCGCUUUAGUGCAAGGCUAACUCAUAUAUUGAAUAGAAAGUUUGUGAGGACAGAUAACGCUAUGAAAGAUUCUGAAGAGACUGCAACAGCCUUCAAUGUGAGUCAAACUAGCCAUAACUCGAGAAAGAAGCUUUAGUUUGCUAAUCCAAGAAUCAAAAUCCAAGAGAACGUGGCUAGAAGCCUAUAGAAGCUGUUAGUUUUCGUCGCAUUGCAACCGUUGAGCAGUUAUAGCUGGAAUACACACACAGUCAGCUUUACCGUAUCUCUCGUGCGGCUACGCCUCGAGGCAUAACUAAUAACUUGCUUUGUAGAGGCUAUCUAAUGCUGUAAACGCAUUCUUAAUUAUUAAUUAUGCCUUGGUUUUUAUACUGUACAGUGGUGUACGUGUGUGUGUGUGAGGUCAAGGUUCAUUCAUUUUGCCAAUUGGCUCAGCUUCAUUGUACAUGCCCUAAACACGAUAAUUACCAGUUGUUUUGUUCUUCCCACGCCCAGUUGAGCGUUGUUGGCGUCGGGACUGGAUCAACGAGCUCAUCAAGAUACUGGCUCAGAUAGUGUUUGCUUGUCAGAAGAAAGACGCAACUAUACUGGUUCCAUUGUCGGGUAUGUGUGCAGCAAGGGAACGGUACUGGACAAGACAGUGGACUACUUGAAAAAGCUCGUAUUUCAAUCCUCUCAACAAUAGUGUAUAGUAUAUUAUAAUAAUAGUAUAUCCUCCAUUGCGAGCACGACCACUUCUCCGUCCACUCCUGUACCGAAAUCCUCCAUGCUGUCACAAGCCAACAACAAUGGCGGCGGUGGUGGUGGUGGUGGUCUCUCUGCCGCGGCUGCUGCUAGUCUGCUCAACACUCUGAUUCUGGCUCAGAAUGUGCUCACAAGCAACUCAAGUGCUGGUAGCCCCGGGCAAGAUUCAAUGUCUAUGGAAACGGUGGACCAAUCCUCUCAACAGUAGUGUACAGUAUAAAUUAUUAUAAUUGUGGACUGUUUAUACUGUUCUAGUUUUAACGUGUGUUUUUUAGUAAUCUCUCCUUCACUUACUAUAGCUACAUUGUCAGUAUUAUUAUGUAUACAUAGUUUUUAUACAUGAUAUUUGUGUGGAGCUCUUUGAGAAAAAUAUUGUAGCAAAGCCCAUUUAUAUGUAACCACGCCCAUUAUAAUUAUGUGCAGCCUAGCCUCCAUCUCAAGCCGCACUUCCUCCAAAGUUGGCCUGGUAAUCGACUGCUUGUGCAUGAGCUAACCAUUAGCUGGCAUUGAGAAGAACCUUCAUCAAGAACAAGCCCCCAGUUAUGCGGCCAUUUUUCAGCCCGGCCAAGUGUUGAGGAGACAAGAAGAGGCACUGAGAAUGGAGGUAGAGGCGUACUAUGCUGCUAAGAAGGCCACUCAGUGUGACUAUGACCGUGUGACUCUUUAACCCCUCAGUUCCAUUAGGAUAACUGGGGGCCGGAAAAGAUAAGCCUACUAUGCUGCUAAGAAAGAGAGGGGCCUCACGUAAACUGGCCACUCAGUGUGACUAUGAUCAUGUGACUCUUUAACCCGUCAGUUCCCGAGCCCCACCCCUCACUGUCUGACUCGGAAGAGGAGAUAGACUUUGUAUUCUGGGAGAAGGCGUCCACCCUACCCUCGGACAAGACCCCAACCAAGGACCUGAACUUGUUAUGAGACUGUUAAAUAUUAUUAUUUUGUCUGUUUUUGUACUAUUUUCUGGC